GCAAGUCGUACGAGAAAGCACUUUCGGGUGUGAUUAGAGUGGCGCACGGGUGAGGAACACGUAGGUGACCUACCUUGAAGUUUGGGAUAACGGUAAGAAAUUACCGCUAAUACCGGAUAAUCUAGAGGAUUUUGGAAGUACUCUAGGAAAGAUGGCCUCUAUACUAUGCUAUCGCUUUAGGAAGGGCCUGCGGCCCAUUAGUUUGAUGGUGGGGUAAUGGCCUACCAUGACUAUGAUGGGUAGCCGGUCUGAGAGGAUGAUC
rnacentral:rRNA from 1 species